GUAAGUAAGCGUUGAUCCAGAGAUUUCCGAAUGGGGAAACCCAGCAUGAGUUAUGUCAUGUUAUCGAUAUGUGAAUACAUAGCAUAUCAGAAGGCAGACCCGGAGAACUGAAACAUCUUAGUACCCGGAGGAAGAGAAAGAAAAAUCGAUUCCCUGAGUAGCGGCGAGCGAAACGGGAAGAGCCCAAACCAACAAGCUUGCUUGUUGGGGUUGUAGGACACUCUAUACGGAGUUACAAAAGUAUAUAUUAGACGAAUCAUCUGGAAAGUUGAAUCAAAGAAGGUAAUAAUCCUGUAGUCGAAAAUAUAUACUCUCUUGAGUGGAUCCUGAGUACGACGGAGCACGUGAAAUUCCGUCGGAAUCUGGGAGGACCAUCUCCUAAGGCUAAAUACUCUCUAGUGACCGAUAGUGAACCAGUACCGUGAGGGAAAGGUGAAAAGUACCCCGGAAGGGGAGUGAAAGAGAACUUGAAACCGUGUGCUUACAAGUAGUCAGAGCCCGUUAAUGGGUGAUGGCGUGCCUUUUGUAGAAUGAACCGGCGAGUUACGAUUUGAUGCAAGGUUAAGCAGCUAAUGUGGAGCCGUAGCGAAAGCGAGUCUGAAUAGGGCGUUUAGUAUUUGGUCGUAGACCCGAAACCAGGUGAUCUACCCUUGGUCAGGUUGAAGUUCAGGUAACACUGAAUGGAGGACCGAACCGACUUACGUUGAAAAGUGAGCGGAUGAACUGAGGGUAGCGGAGAAAUUCCAAUCGAACUUGGAGAUAGCUGGUUCUCUCCGAAAUAGCUUUAGGGCUAGCCUCAAGUGAUGAUUAUUGGAGGUAGAGCACUGUUUGGACGAGGGGCCCUUCUCGGGUUACCGAAUUCAGACAAACUCCGAAUGCCAAUCAAUUUAACUUGGGAGUCAGAACAUGGGUGAUAAGGUCCGUGUUCGAAAGGGAAACAGCCCAGACCACCAGCUAAGGUCCCAAAAUAUAUGUUAAGUGGAAAAGGAUGUGGCGUUGCCCAGACAACUAGGAUGUUGGCUUAGAAGCAGCCAUCAUUUAAAGAGUGCGUAAUAGCUCACUAGUCGAGUGACACUGCGCCGAAAAUGUACCGGGGCUAAACAUAUUACCGAAGCUGUGGAUUGUCCGUAGGACAAUGGUAGGAGAGCGUUCUAAGGGCGUCGAAGCAUGAUCGCAAGGACAUGUGGAGCGCUUAGAAGUGAGAAUGCCGGUGUGAGUAGCGAAAGACGGGUGAGAAUCCCGUCCACCGAUUGACUAAGGUUUCCAGAGGAAGGCUCGUCCGCUCUGGGUUAGUCGGGUCCUAAGCUGAGGCCGACAGGCGUAGGCGAUGGAUAACAGGUUGAUAUUCCUGUACCACCUAGUAUCGUUUUAAUCGAUGGGGGGACGCAGUAGGAUAGGCGAAGCGUGCUAUUGGAUUGCACGUCCAAGCAGUAAGACUGAGUGUUAGGCAAAUCCGGCACUCAUAAGGUCAAGCUGUGAUGGGGAGAGGAAAUUGUUUCCUCGAGUCGUUGAUUUCACACUGCCAAGAAAAGCCUCUAGAUAGAUAACAGGUGCCCGUACCGCAAACCGACACAGGUAGUCAAGAUGAGAAUUCUAAGGUGAGCGAGCGAACUCUCGUUAAGGAACUCGGCAAAAUGACCCCGUAACUUCGGGAGAAGGGGUGCUCUUUAGGGUUAACGCCCAGAAGAGCCGCAGUGAAUAGGCCCAAGCGACUGUUUAUCAAAAACACAGGUCUCUGCUAAACCGUAAGGUGAUGUAUAGGGGCUGACGCCUGCCCGGUGCUGGAAGGUUAAGAGGAGUAGUUAGCUUCUGCGAAGCUACGAAUCGAAGCCCCAGUAAACGGCGGCCGUAACUAUAACGGUCCUAAGGUAGCGAAAUUCCUUGUCGGGUAAGUUCCGACCCGCACGAAAGGCGUAACGAUUUGGGCACUGUCUCAACGAGAGACUCGGUGAAAUCAUAGUACCUGUGAAGAUGCAGGUUACCCGCGACAGGACGGAAAGACCCCGUGGAGCUUUACUGUAGCCUGAUAUUGAAAUUCGGCACAGCUUGUACAGGAUAGGUAGGAGCCUUUGAAACGUGAGCGCUAGCUUACGUGGAGGCAUUGGUGGGAUACUACCCUAGCUGUGUUGGCUUUCUAACCCGCACCACUUAUCGUGGUGGGAGACAGUGUCAGGUGGGCAGUUUGACUGGGGCGGUCGCCUCCUAAAAGGUAACGGAGGCGCUCAAAGGUUCCCUCAGAAUGGUUGGAAAUCAUUCAUAGAGUGUAAAGGCAUAAGGGAGCUUGACUGCGAGACUUACAAGUCGAGCAGGGUCGAAAGACGGACUUAGUGAUCCGGUGGUUCCGCAUGGAAGGGCCAUCGCUCAACGGAUAAAAGCUACCCCGGGGAUAACAGGCUUAUCUCCCCCAAGAGUUCACAUCGACGGGGAGGUUUGGCACCUCGAUGUCGGCUCAUCGCAUCCUGGGGCUGUAGUCGGUCCCAAGGGUUGGGCUGUUCGCCCAUUAAAGCGGUACGCGAGCUGGGUUCAGAACGUCGUGAGACAGUUCGGUCCCUAUCCGUCGUGGGCGUAGGAAAUUUGAGAGGAGCUGUCCUUAGUACGAGAGGACCGGGAUGGACAUACCUCUGGUGUACCAGUUGUCGUGCCAACGGCAUAGCUGGGUAGCUAUGUAUGGACGGGAUAAGUGCUGAAAGCAUCUAAGCAUGAAGCCCCCCUCAAGAUGAGAUUUCCCAACUUCGGUUAUAAGAUCCCUCAAAGAUGAUGAGGUUAAUAGGUUCGAGGUGGAAGCGUGGUGACACGUGGAGCUGACGAAUACUAAUCGAUCGAAGACUUAAUCAA
rnacentral:rRNA from 1 species